GGGAGGGAGAGAAAGAGGGAGAGAGAAGGCGGAGACGGGGAUCAGCUGCGCUGGGAGCAGGAAGCUGAGCAGGACCGGGAGCCGCCGACGCCGCCGUCACCGCCUGGAGCCCGGCGCCUGCCCUUCUUCCCGCUGGGCAGCAGCUCUGUCCUUCCUUUUCUCCCUCCCCGGGCGCCCCGGUUUCGGGACAUCCCGGCCGCUGCCACCGCCGCGGCUUACCUGCUUCCCCAUCCAGGAGAGAAGGGGAGAAAGAAGAGGGACACUGCCGGCUCGGGACAGAAGACUGAAGGGCUGGGACGGAAGGCAAGCGGCUUGCUCGGUAGCUGUGGGUCCGGCCUGUGAACUGGCUAGGUGGUGAAGGUGGAGAGGUGAUGAAGACGAGCCGGGCUCCUGCCCAUUCUACGGGAACCACCUGCCGUGUCCGCCUCAGGGGUUGUUUCUGACGCUUUCAGUAAAAGGGAGAGACAGGGAAGAAAAAAAAAAAA